ensembl:snRNA U6 U6 spliceosomal RNA
GUGCUCACUUCGGCAGCACAUUUACUAAAAUUGGAAUGAUACAGAGAUUAGCAUGGCCCCUGUGCAAGGAUGACACGCAAAUUUGUGAAGCGUUCCAUAUUUUU